rnacentral:rRNA from 1 species
GAUGAACGCUAGCGGCAGGCCUAACACAUGUAAGUCGAGGGGUAGAGGAAGCUUGCUUCCUUGAGACCGGCGCACGGGUGCGUAACGCGUAUGCAAUCUACCUUUUACAGAGGGAUAGCCCAGAGAAAUUUGGAUUAAUACCUCAUAGUAUUUUCGAAUGGCAUCAUUUGAUUAUUAAAGUUCCAACGGUAAAAGAUGAGCAUGCGUCCUAUUAGCUAGAUGGUAAGGUAACGGCUUACCAUGGCAACGAUAGGUAGGGGUCCUGAGAGGGAGAUCCCCCACACUGGUACUGAGACACGGACCAGACUCCUACGGGAGGCAGCAGUGAGGAAUAUUGGACAAUGGGCGCAAGCCUGAUCCAGCCAUGCCGCGUGCAGGAAGACGCAUCUAUGGUGUGUAAACUGCUUUUGUACGGGAAGAAACACUCCCUCGUGAGGGAGCUUGACGGUACCGUAAGAAUAAGCACCGGCUAACUACGUGCCAGCAGCCGCGGUAAUAC